rnacentral:rRNA from 1 species
GAGUUUGAUCAUGGCUCAGGAUGAACGCUAGCGGCAGGCUACACAUGCAAGUCGAGGGGCAACGCGAGUAGCAAUACUUGGCGGCGACCGGCGCAAGGGUGCGUAACGCGUGAGCAACAUGCCCGUAUCAGGGGGAUAACGUCCAGGGAAACUUUGGUCUAAUACCCCAUAGUAAUUUUGUAAGGCAUCUUAUAAGAUUUAAAGCUUUGGUGGAUACGGAUUGGCUCGCGUGACAUUAGCUGGAUGGUAAGGUAACGGCUUACCAUGGCUAUGAUGUCUAGGGGUUCUGAGAGGAAGGUCCCCCACACUGGAACUGAGACACGGUCCAGACUCCUACGGGAGGCAGCAGUGAGGAAUAUUGGACAAUGGAUGGAAAUCUGAUCCAGCCAUGCCGCCGUGAAGGAAGAAGGUCCUAUGGAUUGUAAACUUCUUUUGUAUGGGAGCAAUAAGGCCUACGAGUAGGUUGAUGAGAGUACCAUACGAAUAAGCACCGGCUAACUCCGUGCCAGCCGCGGC